AGUAGAAAUAACCCAGCAUUCGUAGACCUCAUGGCCCUUCACCUGCUGCAUGGCUCAGAGCGAGGCCCCAGCCCUCAGCAACAAAGGCGACCGUGUGCACCGAAUGGAAACCUGCAGAAUAUCAGGAGGAUACCGAGCAAGCCAGUCCCCGACGUCUGCACCAAAAAGAUGACAUUUGUGCAUAAAAAUGUGUCUACAUAUGUAUGUACAGCAAAAUACAAAAGAAAAUAAUUUAAAGUGUUAGCAAUAGUUAGCUUUAAAAAGUAAGAUGAUGUGGAAUUUAAAAUUUUGGCUUAUCUGGAUUUUCUUUAAUGAAUAUGCAUUUCUCUUGUAUCUCUCAAAGCUUUUUAUUUCCUUAAACAUUACUGUAGACAGAGAGUUAAAGGGCUGUCAUUCUUUCCCUCAUGAAAAGGUGCUGUUUUGAAGAAUCAAGCUUUCUUUGUAACUAAAGUUUUAUUAAUUUGAAUGCUAAUAAUUUAAGAAGUAUCAUCUUCAGACUCAGCCAACCAUGAACGGGCAUCUCUGGAGGAAAACCGUGUCUGUGAUAAACACACAGAGGCUUUUUCUUGUCAUCAUUUCCUCAAAAAUAUAAAAGAACCAUGUAUUUCCCUUGUACAUGGUAUCGCAUGUGGCUGAGAUAUUGCUUCUACCUCACCGCCGCGUUGAGAAGCCGACAUGUGCUUGUAAGUGGUUGAGAGAUUGUUUUUUCAGGACUUUUAUAGGUAAAUGGAUGCAACUUGAGACCCUACUCAUUAGUGAACUAAAUAAGACACACGUGUGUAAACACCACAUUGUCUCAUUGGUGUAAGAAGCUGGAAGAAACAACAAAAAGAAAACAAAGUAUACAGGAGGAUUUGUGAUGCCGUGCCUUCUAUACAAAGGACUUGAACAUCCAGAGACUCUGGACUCCGCGAGGGUCCCAGCACCAAACCCCAUCUACUCACAAAGGCUGAGACAGCUGUUCCCAGCAGCACGCACCCUCAUACCUUCUUGGGAUAGAUCCCAUAAGAGUUGAAGUGUAAUCUCAUCAGGAGGAAGGGGCCAAAUUCUCCAUGUCCUCCGAUAAUACUUGGACCUCCAGGGCCAUUGGAAGAGUGGCAGUGUUUGUGUCUGUGUCUCCACCUUCAGAGUCUCUAGACUGGUUUCUUAGAGCUUUUCCAGCUCCUCCAGGGCAUACAAACCUUCAGUCUCAGAAUCCCAGUCUUUUAAUAGGGCGCUUCUACCUCACCGCAGCAUUGAGAAGCCGACAUGCACUUGUUAGAAGUGUGAGCCAAGUAGAGGACCGGGACCGGACCUUGGCUGCAAGCUCUGUUCGAGGGGAAAACAGCCAGUCCCCACAGGCAGCACUUACAUCAGGACAGAGCUUGGAAGGGACAAACACGUGAAUCACGCUACGUGUUAUCCUGAUAGUGGCUGGCAGCUGUUGGAAACCAAAGGAAGUGAGGUGCUCCUAUGUGUGUUUGCUAUUUUUAUUUGUUGAUUUAUAUUUUUUUUCCGGUGUUAGAGGAUGGAGCCCAGCUCUGCACAUGUGCUAAGCCUGUUACUUAAAGGACGGUUUAGUGUGCUACAGGAAGACAGAAAUAUGGGCUGUAAAAUACAAAAGGAAGAAAGUCGAGCUGUAAAAACAAGCUACAAGGGAUAUUAUAUGUGUUGUCUCUUCUAACUGAUAAAUUCAAAUAUAUUCUCCUUUUAAGACAAUCCAUGAGGGAAAUUUAUUUCUGGCUCCUGUGCCAGAGAAAGAGAUGUCUUAAUUAAAUUAUUGAUUCUUUUUAUGUCUCAGGUCUGUGAAUAUUAUAAAUAAUUGCAUUUUC